UUGGACUCCCCUCUAAAAAAUUGAUGAAAAUUCGAAAUUGAAAAUUUACUUUGGCAAUUUGGAUUGCAGCACCGUUCCGACAAUGAAAUAUGUCAAUUUCAAUUAUGCCCUUCGCCGCGGGCCAAAAAAGUACUCGAAUCCGAAUUUAUUUCAGCGUUUCAACAAAUGUGUCAAUUUCCCUGUAAAGCUCUAUCGAUUGCAGAAUUGGCAACGCCUUCAAUUGUGGCAUCCGCAUCCACAUCCACAUUCUCUGGGCGGAUUGAUUGUCUACAGGGUAAUUAUAGUUGUUAGGGCUCAAAUGUUGGUCCGCAAUUUGCUGACAGUUGUCAGCCGCCCGAGGCGCGGAUUUCGAAGGAAUAAAGCACUCAGUUUCCCAAUAAAUCGAAUUAGAAUAUAACUGGGUUUAAAAUCUGUUUUUAAUCAAAGGAAAAAUAUAAAUCAGAAGAAUAGAAUGAAGUCUAGCUUUCAACAUGAAUAAUCAUAGUAACAGGAGGUACUAAGCAAAAUUAAAUGCUUUUGCAUAGUUUUCCAGACUUUAAAUUAUUAUAAAUUAAACAUUCUAAGUAACUAUUUUGAUGUAAACACGUUGUGCUGGCAAGCGGAAGCAUAAGUAGCAUGUGCGAAACUUUGCACAAAUCACGUUGAAAACUUUGCGCGAGACUCAUCAAUUUCGCAGGUCUGCCGUGAGAGAUUUCCUGUAAUAUAAACUCCUGGAGAGGAGGGCCGCAUCAAUGGGCCAUAAAACUUUCGCCCAACACUUUGCAGACAGGAAAUAUGACAGGGCCCGCACAAUAAAACGAGCUGCCGGUCAUUUGCCAAUGUCUAGCUGACUGAAUGACUAGCUGACUGACUGGCUGACUGACUGGCUGGCCAUCGCUGUGUCCACCAGAUUGAUUUGCAAGUGGUUGGAGGGCAGAGCCGGGAUUGAAAUUGAACUUGAAAAGUGCACGGCAGACAGACGGCAUCGCAAUGACAAUGACAAGGCUCUCACGAUUACACAAAAGCCAGCCAAGCCAGCGGCAGCAGCAGAAGAAAAUAAAAUGCCACGACUCCGGGACUCCGACGACUCCCUGUUGUCGAUAUGAUCUCGUCAUUAUGUCGCCAAAGGCAGACACCGUAGUCCCAGGGUAGUCCAAGGGUUCCGAGGGAACCUGGCGGCGGAUCUCGGGGGGCAAAGACGUCUGCAAGUUGCGUCGUGUGGGCGACACAUUUAUGUGAAAUUGAUGAUGAUUGAAAGCUGCAUCGCGGUUGGAAAGGCAAGGAAUUAUUGGACAUGACAGCGUGAUGCUCACGACAUUUGCGGAUAAUAGAUACAUUUAUAGCUAAGCUAUAUAUUUCAACACAUUUUUGUGAUAAUUCCAUUUCAUAUGCAAAGUUCCUGACAUUUUCUCAUCACCAAAGUACAUUUGGAAGAAGUAUAUAUAGCAGUGAAUGUCUAGAACACUAGCUCAUCUCUUGUUGUAAUCUUGUGCCAUCCGCUCGCCGAUGUCGGCAUACGAAUUAA